AUUGAACGCUGGCGGCAUGCCUUACACAUGCCAGUCGAACGGUAACAGGUUAAGCUGACGAGUGGCGAACGGGUGAGUAAUGUAUCGGAACGUGCCCAGUCGUGGGGGAUAACUGCUCGAAAGAGCAGCUAAUACCGCAUACGACCUGAGGGUGAAAGCGGGGGAUCGCAAGACCUCGCGCGAUUGGAGCGGCCGAUAUCAGAUUAGGUAGUUGGUGGGGUAAAGGCUCACCAAGCCGACGAUCUGUAGCUGGUCUGAGAGGACGACCAGCCACACUGGGACUGAGACACGGCCCAGACUCCUACGGGAGGCAGCAGUGGGGAAUUUUGGACAAUGGGCGCAAGCCUGAUCCAGCCAUGCCGCGUGCGGGAAGAAGGCCUUCGGGUUGUAAACCGCUUUUGUCAGGGAAGAAAAGGUUCUGGCUAAUACCUGGGACUCAUGACGGUACCUGAAGAAUAAGCACCGGCUAACUACGUG
rnacentral:rRNA from 1 species